rnacentral:misc_RNA from 1 species
AAGUCGUAACAAGGUUUCCGUAGGUGAACCUGCGGAAGGAUCAUCAAUAGUAUUCCAAUAUAUACCUUCUUGUGAAUUGUGUAGUUGCAAGUGUAUGUAGUGUGUAGUGAUGGAUUGAUAUAGUGGGUGGCCAAGUGGUAGCCAUCUUUUGGUUAUGACGAGGCGCCCAUCAUCAUCCAUGCCACACUACAUAUAUUAUUAUUAAAACUUUGUCAAUGUUGUAUUUCUUUUCUGUUUGAUUCAGACUAUAUUUCUAGUCAGAAGAUAAAUGUUAAUACAACUUGCAGCGAUGGAUCUCUAGGCUCUGGU